AAUAGAUACCCGGGUAGUCCACGCCGUAAACGAUGUCGACUUGGAGGUUGUUCCCUUGAGGAGUGGCUUCCGGAGCUAACGCGUUAAGUCGACCGCCUGGGGAGUACGGCCGCAAGGUUAAAACUCAAAUGAAUUGACGGGGGCCCGCACAAGCGGUGGAGCAUGUGGUUUAAUUCGAUGCAACGCGAAGAACCUUACCUGGUCUUGACAUCCACAGAAUUCUGCAGAGAUGCGGAAGUGCCUUCGGGAACUGUGAGACAGGUGCUGCAUGGCUGUCGUCAGCUCGUGUUGUGAAAUGUUGGGUUAAGUCCCGCAACGAGCGCAACCCUUAUCCUUUGUUGCCAGCGGUUAGGCCGGGAACUCAAAGGAGACUGCCAGUGAUAAACUGGAGGAAGGUGGGGAUGACGUCAAGUCAUCAUGGCCCUUACGACCAGGGCUACACACGUGCUACAAUGGCAUAUACAAAGAGAAGCGACCUCGCGAGAGCAAGCGAACCUCAUAAAGUAUGUCGUAGUCCGGA
rnacentral:rRNA from 1 species